UAUCAGGCUGAAACACCAGUUCUAGUAAAGACACCGAAGUUAAGCAACGUCGAGCGUGGUCAGUACCUGGAUGAGUGACCGCUCGGAAAUAUCAGGUGCUGUAA